rnacentral:rRNA from 1 species
AAAGAGUGCGUAACAGCUCACUGGUCGAUGCGUCGUGGCGCCGACAAUCCACCGGGGCUAAGUCCGGCACCGACGCUGCGGAUGUGUCUGAGGAAGACACGUGGUAAGGGAGCGUCCGCGUCAGCAGAGAAGGGGAACUGGAAGGUGACCUGGAGCGGCGCGGAGUGCGAAUGUCGGCACGAGUAGCGCGAGGAAGGUGAGAAUCCUUCCCACCGAAUGCCCAAGGGUUCCGCAGCGAUGCUGAUCAGCUGCGGGUGAGGCGGGCCUAAGGCGCAGGC